rnacentral:rRNA from 1 species
UGGGGAAUAUUAGGCAAUGGGGGAAACCCUGACCUAGCCAUGCCGCGUGCGUGAAGAAGGUCUUAGGAUUGUAAAGCGCUUUCAGCGGGGAAGAUGAUGACGGUACCCGCAGAAGAAGCCCCGGCUAACUCCGUGCCAGCAGCCGCGGUAAUACGGAGGGGGUUAGCGUUGUUCGGAAUUACUGGGCGUAAAGCGCACGUAGGCGGACCAGAAAGUUGGGGGUGAAAUCCCGGGGGCUCAACCCCGGAACUGCCUCCAAAACUAUUGGUCUAGAGUUCGAGAGAGGUGAGUGGAAUUCCAAGUGUAGAGGUGAAAUUCGUAGAUAUUUGGAGGAACACCAGUGGCGAAGGCGGCUCACUGGCUCGAUACUGACGCUGAGGUGCGAAAGUGUGGGGAGCAAACAGGAUUAGAUACCCUGGUAGUCCACACCGUAAAACGAUGAAUGCCAGUCGUCGGGUAGCAUGCUAUUCGGUGACACACCUAACGGAUUAAGCAUUCCGCCUGGGGAGUACGGUCGCAAGAUUAAAA